ACGACUCUCGGCAACGGAUAUCUCGGCUCACGCAUCGAUGAAGAACGUAGCAAAAUGCGAUACUUGGUGUGAAUUGCAGAAUCCCGUGAACCAUCGAGUUUUUGAACGCAAGUUGCGCCCGAAGCCAUUCGGNNGAGGGCACGUCUGCCUGGGCGUCACGC
rnacentral:rRNA from 1 species